rfam:Parvimonas micra strain KCOM 1535, complete genome.
UUUAUUCGCUAGGGGUGCUGUUAAGCUGAGAAAUACCCUUUGUACCUGAUUCAGAUAAUACUGACGUAGGGAAGUUGAAUAGUCUUUUU